rnacentral:rRNA from 1 species
CGCAAGCCUGACGGAGCAAGACCGCGUGCGGGAUGACGGCCUAAUGGUUGUAAACCGCUUUUCUCUGGGAAGAUGAUGACGGUACCAGAGGAAUCAGCCUCGGCUAACUCCGUGCCAGCAGCCGCGGUAAUACGGAGGAGGCAAGCGUUAUCCGGAAUUAUUGGGCGUAAAGCGUCCGUAGGUGGUUAUUCAAGUCUGCUGUCAAAGCGUGGGGCUUAACUCCAUAGAGGCAGUGGAAACUGGAUGACUUGAGUGCGGUAGGGGUCGAGGGAAUUCCCAGUGUAGCGGUGAAAUGCGUAGAUAUUGGGAAGAACACCAGUGGCGAAAGCGCUCGACUGGGCCUGCACUGACACUGAGGGACGAAAGCUAGGGGGGCG